AUGCUUCACAGCCUCUCACGCUCUGUUCUUCUCCCACACGCUCUGUUCUUCUCCCAUCUAUUCAAACCCUAAUUCCAUAGCGAACUAUCACAUCUCCCAUCUGCACUUCACCUUUUCAGUCGAUUAUAAUUUUUUGCGCGAUUUGAUGAAGAUUGCUGCUUCGCGGUGUUCAGGUAAGAGAUUUAUUGCGAUUUGAUGAAGAUUUCUGCUUCGUGGUGUUCUGACCAAGCGUUUGACUGCUACACUAAAGUGGGACAGUCAAUUUACAACGAGUUGGUUCUAUUGUUCGGGAAAUUGGGGAAUCUUGUCUUCAUUGAUCUCCUAUAAAGGUUGGUAUGGAACUAGAAUGGAGGUUAUUUCGGAUGCAGUCAAUCAUGGCGGAUUUUGGUAGGGUUUCGAUGAUGUUGGCUCUGGGUAGUCUCAGUUAUCUUGGUGGAAAUGUUCGGUUUAAUUUGUGUUCUCAGUUCAGGAAGGAAUAUUACUGAUUUGCUUCUUUUUCCUUUUGUUGGAAUAAUUAGUCAAAAGUGCUUCAAUUUGUGUAUUUGCAUGUUGAACGGAAGGUGUGUUGAAAGGGUAAAAUGGAAUAAUAGUUUUUUUUCAUAAUCUUUGAGAUUGUUUAUUUACACUGUAUAUUUGUAUUCUUUGCCUCCUAAUUACACGUUCAAUGAGAUUUAUUUUGGGGGAUUUUUUUCACUUUGAUUUUUAGUUUAGGUUGGUGAUGCUCUAGCAGGUUCUUGAUUGCGACAAUGUGUGAAAUGUGAAUUAGCGAUUCAGGUAGAUUGUAGAAUUUAAGUCACGGCAUCGACCAACCAAUUGAGUCGAGUAUGAACCAAAAAGGUAACAAAGACGAAUAUGAUUUUUUUUCGUGAAAGUAUAUGGACGAUUAUGCAAAAUACUUUCAUUUGUUUAUUUAUGUUCAUAGAUGUCAAUAAAAUAUGCGCUAUAAUUUUGGUGGGUUUAACAAUCUGGGUUUCCAGCGUUCUUUAGAAGAAAUUUGCUAUUCUUUUUUUGAUUUUUUUUUAUAUUGCAUUUGUCUAUUUUUACUGUUUGAUUGCCAAAAUUCCUUUUGAAUCUUCUACUUAGGGGAUGUUUAGGAUUUUCCUUUUUUUAGUCACUAUUCAUAAAAUUUGAAUUUGUAUCUUAGAGAGCAUUUUUGAAAGUGAUUUGGUGGAACGUUUUAGUAUGGAUCAAACUCCCCAUUCUAACUUCAUUUGAAUCUAUGGCUGACACGAUUGAAAUUGGGUGGAGACAAGAGGUGUUGGAGGGUACAAUGGGCUUUGAUAGUACUAUGGAGUUCAUGAUUUUAGUCAAUAUAAAUUGAAAAAGAGAAAGUGACUGUGGAAGUGGUGGCUGUUGCGGAGGAGGAAGAAGCGGUACUUGAAGUAGUUUUUCAAGUGUAGGAGCCAUCACAGCUGGUUGUUGAGCUCAAUGCCUAAAUUUAGGAAGCCCCAAAGACGCGAUAUGCUUCUAUUGGUGUGCUCUGUCAGAUGUACAGUUGACAGCUGUAAACUGUCACUUGGACGAGUGCAUGUACCGGGCGUUUGGAUACGAUCUCUCACCUUCGGCAGACUUGGGCAUUUUGGAGAACUUUUAGUUCUUCAAACAGCCUUCUUUGCAGUUAGAAAUGCUUUGAUAUAAACAAUGUGUCUUUAAUAGAAGUUGCUCAUCAGAAUUGUUAGUUAUGCAAGCAGAGCUCUAAAGAAACAAAGAAGGGCCCACAUCUUUUGACGAAAUUUGAUGUUGUCAGGGGCAUAAUGAUACGAACGUUGGCAGAUGCUUCGAAAGAACAAAGAUCGCUUGCACCGGUUCAGAUCAUGUUCACGGUUUGUGGGUUUGUUAUAACGAUCGUUAGUACAAUCAUAGUCACGGUUUAUGCAAAGACACGGCUCAGUGAGUUGCAGGCAAACGAUGAACAACUGAUGUUGUUACAGUGACAUUAAAGUUAUCUACUUCAGGUGGUCUUAGGAUGUUCAUAUGGUGCUGGAUGGCUGGUGAGGUUGGUGUGACUGGCAUGGCAAAACAAUAGUUGAGAUUAUAAAAUUACGGAGGCAGGGGUAUUUUGGGAAUACUGUAAAGGUGAUGAUUAGAAGGUUUUAGGGUCCAAAUAUAUGGUCUGAUGUUGUUAAGGAACAGGUUAUGAAUUUUCUGAAGUCCAUGAGAUUAGGCUCUGUUUGUCUAAAGAUUUAUGUUUGGAAGGGGCAUUCUGGGAAUAUUGAAAAGCCUAAUAGCAUAUGGCAGUUACAGGAGUUCAAUAGAGGCUUUGCAUCUUCCUACAAUGGCAUGAUAACAUGGAUGAGUUGGAAAUAAAGAAAAUGGAAAAAGCAUAAGAAGCCCACAUAGAUGAGCUGGAAAUAAAGAAAAUGGAAAAGGCACAAGAAGCCUACAAGGCUGCCAUUGCAACUACAAAAGAGAAGCAAGAUGACGAGUUGAUCCCAAUAGCUACCAAUCUCCGGUUGCAUCUGCAAUAUUUUGUUUUAAAAAGUUGGCUGGUCUGAAUUUCAAUAGGACAUCAAAUCAUUCAAUGUUGGGCUAGCCCACUUGGUAGCCACUUUAUGACACAGAGUACGGAAUCUUAAAAUAUGUUAAUAUUUAUGUUAUUUAGUUUUUUAGGCAAGUAUAAUGUUUG
rnacentral:lncRNA from 1 species